rnacentral:rRNA from 1 species
AUGCAAGUCGAACGAUGAAGCUGGAGCUUGCUCUAGUGGAUUAGUGGCGACCGUGUGAGUAACACGUGAGCAAUCUGCCCUUGACUCUGGCAUAACUGCGGGAAACUGUAGCUAAUACCGGAUACGACACCUUGGGGCAUCCCGAGGUGUGGAAAGAAUUUCGGUCAAGGAUGAGCUCGCGGCCUAUCAGCUAGUUGGUGAGGUAAUGGCUCACCAAGGCGACGACGGGUAGCCGGCCUGAGAGGGUGACCGGCCACACUGGAACUGAGAUACGGUCCAGACUCCUACGGGAGGCAGCAGUGGGGAAUAUUGCACAAUGGGCGCAAGCCUGAUGCAGCAACGCCGCGUGAGGGAUGAAGGCCUUCGGGUUGUAAACCUCUUUUAGCAGGGAAGAAGCGAAAGUGACGGUACCUGCAGAAAAAGCACCGGCUAACUACGUGCCAGCAGCCGCGGUAAUACGUAGGGUGCAAGCGUUGUCCGGAAUUAUUGGGCGUAAAGAGCUCGUAGGCGGUUUGUCGCGUCUGCUGUGAAAAUCCAAGGCUCAACCUUAGACCUGCAGUGGGUACGGGCAGACUAGAGUGCGGUAGGGGAGAUGGGAAUUCCUGGUGUAGCGGUGGAAUGCGCAGAUAUCAGGAGGAACACCAAUGGCGAAGGCACAUCUCUGGGCCGUAACUGACGCUGAGGAGCGAAAGCGUGGGGAGCGAACAGGAUUAGAUACCCUGGUAGUCCACGCCGUANACGGUGGGUGCUAGUUGUGGGCCACAUUCCACGUGGUCCGUGACGAAGUUAACACAUUAAGCACCCCGCCUGGGGAGUACGGUCGCAAGACUAAAACUCAAAGGAAUUGA